rnacentral:rRNA from 1 species
AGUGAACGCUGGCGGUAGGCCUAACACAUGCAAGUCGAACGGCAGCACAGUAAGAGCGUGCUGUUACGGGGGGGGAGAGGGGGGCGGGAGAGGAAUACAUCGGAAUCUAGUUUUUCGGGGGGGAUAAGGAAGGGAAAGUUACGCUAAGACCGCAGACGACCUACGGGGGAAAGGGGGGGAUAUUCGGAGCUGGCGGGAUUGGAUGAGCCGAUGUCGGAUUAGCUAGUUGGGGGGGUAAAGGCCCACCAAGGCGACGAUCGGUAGCUGGUCUGAGAGGAUGAUCAGCCCCCCUGGACCUGAGCCACCGUCCAGACUCCUACGGGACGCCGCAGUCGGCAAUAUUGGACAAUGGGCGCAAGCCUGAUCCAGCCAUCCCGCGUCGGUGACGACGGCCUUCGGGUUGUAAAGCCCUUUUUUUGGGAAAGAAACGCUGCCGCUUAAUACCCCGCUGUUCUGACGGUACCCAAAGAAUAAGCACCGACUAACUUCGUG